rnacentral:rRNA from 1 species
GACGAACGCUGGCGGCGUGCUUAACACAUGCAAGUCGAACGAAGUGGCGAACGGGUGAGUAAUGAGUAAUCACCCUGCCCUUCUGAGGGGGACAACAGUUGGAAACGACUGCUAAUACCGCAUACUGACGGUGGGGUUUGCGUCUGAUUAGCUAGUUGGAGGGGUAACGGCCCACCACGGCAAUGAUCAGUAGCCGGACUGAGGUGAGGAACGGACAAAUUGGGACUGAGAAAAGGCCCAGAAUGCUAAGGGAGGGAGAAAGGGGGAAAUGUCCGAAAUGGAAGAAAGGCUGAAGGAGCAACGCCGCGGGGGGGAGGACGGGCUUCGGGAUGGAAAGCUCUGUUAAUCGGGACGCGGUACCGGAAUAGAAAGCCACGGCUAACUACGUGCCAGCAGCCGCGGUAAUAC